GGCGCUGUCGUCCAAUCGGCAGGACACCCACUUUGCUCAGGCCACUGUUCGCCCAUCGGCCUGGAGUGGGAGAUGCAGGGUUCGAAUCCCGCCAGCGCCC
rnacentral:tRNA from 1 species